GCGAAUACCCCUUCAGAUACAAGCUUCUAUGUGCUAUAUGACAAUGAAUUUGACUAUAUCCUGUCCGCUGAUAAAGAUUGGUGCGAAGGAACAGUAUCUGAUGUUUCGUCAGACAUGGAAUUACAUGCUGCUGACCGAAUUGAUAGAGUUAAAGAAACAGCCACUGUGUUCUAUUUGGGCGAAGAAUGAAUUUACAAAAAAAAAUAAGGUGGACAAAUAUACAUUGGAAUUAUUUCGCGUGAUUUGCAAAGAUGCAGUCUACGACGGGUACCCAAAAUUUUGCCCGAAAGCGGAGAAAUAAAACCCAUUUCCUGUAGAGUGAA